GAUGAACGCUGGCGGCGUGCCUAACACAUGCAAGUCGAGCGGCAGCGAGGGGUGCUUGCACCCUGUCGGCGAGCGGCGGACGGCUGAGUAACGCGUGGGAACGUGCCCCAAAGUGAGGAAUAACUGCCCGAAAGGGUAGCUAAUACCGCAUAUUAUCUUCGGAUCAAAGGAUUUAUCCGCUUUGGGAGCGGCUCGCGUCGGAUUAGGUAGUUGGUGAGGUAAUGGCUCACCAAGCCGACGAUCCGUAGCUGGUCUGAGAGGAUGACCAGCCAGACUGGAACUGAGACACGGUCCAGACUCCUACGGGAGGCAGCAGUGAGGAAUCUUCCACAAUGGGCGAAAGCCUGAUGGAGCAACGCCGCGUGCAGGACGAAGGCCUUCGGGUUGUAAACUGCUUUUAUAAGUGAGGAAUAUGACGGUAACUUAUGAAUAAGGAUCGGCUAACCACGUG
rnacentral:rRNA from 1 species